rnacentral:rRNA from 1 species
AACGUAGGUGGCGAGCGUUAUCCGGAUUCAUUGGGCGUAAAGAGCUUGUAGGUGGCCGUGUAAGUUGGACGUGAAAGUCCCGGGCUUAACCCGGGGAGGCCGUUCAAUACUGCGCGGCUGGAGGGCGUCAGAGGGGAGUGGAAUUCCUGGUGUAGCAGUGAAUGCGUAGAUAUCAGGAGGAACAGCCCAGUGGCGAAGGCGGACGUCCCUCGGGGCGGCCCCUGACCACGUGAGAC